rnacentral:rRNA from 1 species
AGUGAACGCUGGCGGUAGGCCUAACACAUGCAAGUCGAACGGCAGCACAGGAGAGCUUGCUCUCUGGGUGGCGAGUGGCGGACGGGUGAGGAAUACAUCGGAAUCUACUUUUUCGUGGGGGAUAACGUAGGGAAACUUACGCUAAUACCGCAUACAACCUACGGGUGAAAGUGGGGGACCGCAAGGCCUCACGCGAUUAGAUGAGCCGAUGUCCGAUUAGCUAGUUGGCGGGGUAAUGGCCCACCAAGGCGACGACCGGUAGCUGGUCUGAGAGGAUGUACAGCCACACUGGAACUGAGACACGGUCCAGAGUCCGGCGGGAGGAGGCAGUGGGGAAUAUUGGGCAAGGGGCGCAAGCCUCAUCCAGCCAGACCGCUGUGAUGAAGAAGGCCUUCGGGUUGUAAAACCCUUUUGUUGGGAAAGAAAUCCUGUCGAUUAAUACUCGGUGGGGAUGACGGUACCCAAAGAAUAAGCCCCGGCUAACUUCGUGCCAGCCGCCGCGGUAAGAC